UGAAGUCCAGCGGCCUCUUCCCCUUCCUGGUGCUGCUUGCCCUGGGAACUCUGGCACCUUGGGCUGUGGAAGGCUCUGGAAAGUCCUUCAAAGCUGGAGUCUGUCCUCCUAAGAAAUCUGCCCAGUGCCUUAGAUACAAGAAACCUGAGUGCCAGAGUGACUGGCAGUGUCCAGGGAAGAAGAGAUGUUGUCCUGACACUUGUGGCAUCAAAUGCCUGGAUCCUGUUGACACCCCAAACCCAAGUAAGCAGGAAGCCUGGGAAGUGCCCAGUGACUUAUGGCCAAUGUUUGAUGCUUAACCCCCCCAAUUUCUGUGAGAUGGAUGGCCAGUGCAAGCGUGACUUGAAGUGUUGCAUGGGCAUGUGUGGGAAAUCCUGCGUUUCCCCUGUGAAAGCUUGAUUCCUGCCAUAUGGAGGAGGCUCUGGAGUCCUGCUCUGUGUGGUCCAGGUCCUUUCCACCCUGAGACUUGGCUCCACCACUGAUAUCCUCCUUUGGGGAAAGGCUUGGCACACAGCAGGCUUUCAAGAAGUGCCAGUUGAUCAAUGAAUAAAUAAACGAGCCUAUUUCUC
rnacentral:lncRNA from 10 species